rnacentral:rRNA from 1 species
UACGGGGGGGGCAAGCGUUGUUCGGAAUUACUGGGCGUAAAGGGCCAGUAGGCGGCCAACUAAGUCGGAUGUGAAAUCCCCAGGCUUAACCUGGGAACUGCAUCCGAUACUGGAUGGCUUGAAUUCGGGAGAGGGAUGCAGAAUUCCAGGUAUAGCGGUGAAAUGCGUAGAUAUCUGGAGGAAUACCGGUGGCGAAGGCGGCAUCCUGGACCGACAUUGACGCUGAACGGCGAAAGCUAGGGGAGCAAACGGG